CGUCAUUUGCUCCCUCAAGCUUGGCUUGGUCUUGGGCGCGCGUCUCGCGAGACGGCCCCGAAAAUCAGUGGCAGUGCGGUGCAGCUGCGAGCGUAGUAGUUAAUCACCCCCCGCUCCGCACGCUGCAUGGCGCCCGCCAGUCAACCUGUAGAUUUUUACCAGUUGACCUCGGAUCAGAUAGGGAUACCCGCUGAACUUAA
rnacentral:misc_RNA from 1 species